AGAAAACUAAUGUGUUCCUUGGUUGUUCAGACACAUAGCACACUCUGGAGUCACCGUCGUCAUCUAGAAAUAAACAGAUCGAUAGCAGCCAGACACAAGAGAUACCGUCAAAGCGGAGCAGAGGCAGAUGUCCAGACUGCAGCCCUGCCUGAACACAGAGGUGCAUGCGACAGGGAGAGCAUGCUAUUAAGAGGGAGGGCGGGAGGCCCGGCUUCUGCACCAGAGAACUACAGAGCUUCGCGGACGCUGGCUAACGGCCAGCCUUCUGCCCUACGUGGACCCACAAAGCAAUGAAGUCGUUGAAAACUCGUCCCCGGGAGACUGUUCCGAAAUGGAUGAUUCAACAAUCAGUUUACACUACAGAUAAGAAAAGAACCCCAGCAGUGCCCUAACCAAGAGUUGGAAACGCAGGAGGCAUUCUACAUGCCCCUCACCUGUCCCCUCUGCAGAGGGGAGGAGGCAGUGGGGUCAGGGACUGGGACACCUUGACUGUCCCCUUCCGGGCACCCGGAUGUUACACAGAGAUAUAGAGAUAUAUAGAUGACUGAAUACAUGGAGGGCCCCCUGGCUGAAUUCAGAUUUUUCUUAUACUUGGGCAAAAAUACUUUCAGGAACUCAACUGUGACCCCCACCCCAAUGGUUCUGAAAUAUGUACCUGGUUGUGGGAAAGGAAACUGUAUUUGGCUAAUCAACGCUGAGUGCUUUAAAGGGUCUUCCAGCCUGAGGAAUUCUGACAGCUGACAUUGUAACCACUGGGCUUGUCUUCCACCAUUUGGGAAUUAAUAUAAAAAGACCCCUUAAAACAUUCUCGGAAGGGUAUUAGAGUUUUGUAAAAUAAAACCCCCAAAAAUGUCCCUUAGAAAUUUUUAUAUGACUCUGAAUUAGAACGGUUAGUUGGUACUGAAUCCAAGGUAUCCAGACCUCUGAGAGUCCCCACCCUACCCAGGGAACUGUAGGACCAUCCUCCCCCUCUAGAGAAGCCCCAAGGCCUUCACACUGAACGGAGAUGACAUCAAGCUUCCUCCCUGCCCUUCCAUCCUGCAGCCACUGAGCUGAGAGAACAGAGUGAAUUUCCAAACUAUCCCCCUCCCCCAAACAAGGACAUGAUUCUGGAUUCCCUGGGGGCUUCUUAAAAUAAUCUAAUAUAGCAACACAAAAGAGGGGGAAAAAACCCAAAAGUCUGCAUUUUGAUGCAGAAAUAAGUCUGUCUUUUUUGCUCUGUAUUUUGAAUGCCCUGGAAAAAUACUAGGAACUAAAUUUGGGUUGGGGGUGAGGGGCAAGUUCGCACAUAAACAGAACAGUAUUUAUGAAACUAUAGGUCAUGACCCUCUGAAGGGGUCCUGGGAGCUUCACACAGGGAUUCCAGGGACCCUGGACCUCCCUUCCCCGAGAAGCCUGUGGUUCAGCUGCCUCAGGGAAAGGGGCAGAGAAAGGGGAGAGUCUUGGUGUGUGUUCUGUUGCUAGAACACACCUGGGGCCCUCAGCAGGCCGCCGGCCACAGCAAACCCAAGGGUUCUUUUUCUGUUGUCCUUCGACACGAAGCAUAGGCUGUGUAGACAGUGUACUACGUCACGGAUAUAUUAUCAAGGUCAUAAAGGCUUCUGGCUUAAAGUACACGACAGCCAUGUUCCCAGAUUCCCUAUCCUCAGGAAGAGCCGGAAAGUUCCACAAGACACCGCAGUGUUGGUCUCCUCUGUCACACUGCGAAACCCUCAGAGUAAACCGUUCAAGGGCAAAAACAGGCUCCUGCUCAGUUCUGCAGCCUUGUGCCUAGUGCAAGGCCGGACAACUAGGAAGAGAU